UGCAAGUCGAGCGAGAAGUUACUCAAUGAAUCUUCGGAAGAAUUAAGUAAUGGAAAGCGGCGGACGGGUGAGUAACGCGUGGGCAACCUGCCUUUCACAGAGGGAUAGCCAAAGGAAACUUUGAUUAAAACCUCAUAAAGCCGGAAUAGUGCAUAAUAUACCGGCCAAAGAUUUAUCGGUGAAAGAUGGGCCCGCGUCUGAUUAGCUAGUUGGUGGGGUAACGGCUCACCAAGGCAACGAUCAGUAGCCGACCUGAGAGGGUGAUCGGCCACAUUGGAACUGAGACACGGUCCAAACUCCUACGGGAGGCAGCAGUGGGGAAUAUUGCACAAUGGGCGCAAGCCUGAUGCAGCAACGCCGCGUGAACGAAGAAGGCCUUCGGGUCGUAAAGUUC
rnacentral:rRNA from 1 species